UGGGCAAAGCAUCCGAACUGCUACUGCCGCUGAGUAGAUUUUAAGGGCCGCGGUAUUUUGACCGUGCGAAGGUAGCGUAGUCAUUAGUUUUUUAAUUGGAAUCUUGUAUGAAUGGUUAGACAAAAGAAAAUCUGUCUCUUUAUUAAAAAUUGAAUUUAACUUUUAAGUGAAAAGGCUUAAAUAAAUUAAAAAGACGAUAAGACCCUAUAAAGCUUAAUAUUAAAAUGUUACUUAAUUAAAUUAAAAUAUAAAAAUUUCGUGAUGUAAUUUAUUUUAUUGGGGUGAUAAAAGUAAAAUGAUUGUUAACUGCUUUAUAAAAAAACAUUUUUAAGUGAAAAAAAUUUAAAGAUCCUUAUUAAAGAUUUAAAGUUUAAGUUACUUUAGGGAUAACAGCGUUAUUUUUUUUGAGAGUUCAUAUCGAAAAAAGAGUUUGCGACCUCGAUGUUGAAUUAAAAUUUCUUUAUAGAAGCAGAAACUAUAAAAGUUGGUCUGUUCGACCUUUAAAAUUUUACGUGAUCUGAGUCAGAACCGGGGGGAAAAUUUAAAUAAAACCAGGCGCCGGG
rnacentral:rRNA from 1 species